CAAACGGCCCUUUUCAGGGCCCACAAAUUAAACGCGUUAAAAAAGCU
rfam:Pediculus humanus corporis strain TSDA 1103172085537, whole genome shotgun sequence.